AUGAACUCAAGCAGGAGCACCUGGACUUCACGAUCGCCCACACAAGCUAGAAGACCACGAAUGGAUCUCUCGGUCAUAUGCAAGUACAUUUAUUAUCCGUGUACAAUUUGGGAUGCGUCUCGUAACUGCUACCGGCCUCUCUGUCUCCUAAACAGCCCGGAUGUUUUCUUUACAUCAGCAUACUCAGCGAUAGCGGUUUGGAAUUUAACGCCGGCAGGAAUGGGAGAGCUGCUGCUGCAUGGACACGCAGGAGCAGCAGGGGACGGUGCCAGGAGGGAUGCUCGUCUCCUGGGGCGAGAGAAGAGCCGAGGUGUUUCCCGUUCAAGCCUGGGCGACGCCAUGGCCCGGCAGCACAAGAAGGAAAAGUUAAUUGCUAAUCGAGCUGCUCUUUCAUGCCGACUGCAGAUACGCAGCCCUGUCCCUCCCCGCCUUGCCGAUACACAGGCUAAAAAAAAAGGGAUAAAAGGGGGAAAAGUGCAGCAAGCAGCGCAGGACCCCACUUACUGCUCCCUGCUAGGAAAGGUCCUACAGAAAGACGCCYGGCGCUCCUGGAGCGAGCCAUCGGGGCUCUUCCGUCUGCAAACCGAGCGCGAUCGAGUCAUAAGCAGCUCCUUUCCUGCCCUUAGCCGGGGCUGUUUGUCACGCGCGCACCCGGCUGCUCCUUUCCUACGGAGCAAAGGGAUGAACGGGACGAGCUGCAGCGGUGCUGCUGCCCCAGCUUGCCGGGGAGGCGAAGAGUCUCCUCCCAAAGCAACGGACGGGGAAGCAGCGCGUCUAACGCGCAUCCUACGCCCCUGGAUCUUGAAAUCAAGUUCUCAGCCAGCACAACAGUGGGUUAGAGGAGCGGAGACACCGGAAAGGGGGAAAGUAGAGGGGGGAGCACAGGCUGCAAGUAGAAGGGAGAUAGGAGACAGGGCACAACUAUGUUCACUAGAGUAUAAACCUUUUUCUCCCCCCCUUUUUCUUAAAAAAUGGCUGGUUCUUGGAGAUCUCACCGCUUAA
rnacentral:lncRNA from 1 species